UCAGCACAAGCUCCCAAGGCAAGGCAGCUUUGCCACCAACACCGAGGGUUCCAACUCCAGUUACUACUCCUCCUGCUUCGCAACCACUGGCCAUGGCGGUGACCCCCGUAUCCAGCUUCGCCCUCAAAUGUUCAUAGAAUAGAGAGAAGAAAGCUCCUGUAUAGAGAAAGUAAAAUUUCAGAAAGCCUCUCUCUCUCAAUGUUUGCCUCAACGUACAUUCAAAAUCCGAAACCAGGGAAUUAAAGCAUAGCGUUGCCAAAACUGAGCAUGUUGAGGGUUCAAGUUUCAUCCUUGCAGAGAGGCUAGCUCCGAUCUUGUCCAAGCAACCAUGACCAUUCUCUAUUCAACUUAAACAUGACUCAUCAGGGCCCCCGAUCAAAUUCAGGACAUAAUCCCUUCUGAUGGUCUUGGAGUGCUCCGUCAAACUUUGUUCCUCUACUCCUCCUAGAGGUUUAGCUGUGGAUCUGAAUUAACAGAUGUGGUGGUGUUGAUUUCUGGUCUCCAUCCACCGUUGGUUGGGCUAUUAUGAAGAAGUGGUGGAUGAAGCAGAGAUGAAGACCCAGAAACAAGGGAGUCCCUUGCCGCUGUGCCAACUCAACGCAGGAACGAACUAGAGGAGAAUGGUCGAAACCUCUUGAUAUAUAUAUAUAUAUUGCCGAGCCUUACAAGCAGAGAUCGAUGAAGCCUCAGAAACUUGCUUCGCUUGUGAUGCUUGACAAUAUCAAAAGAGGUUCAACCAUUCUCCUGUAGUUUGUUCCUGCGUUGAGCUGGUGCAUAGGCAAGGGACUCACUUCUUUCUGGGCUUCUCCCAAUAGCAAACGCAGUGAAUCUCAGAUUGUCCAUAUUGGGAAACAGUUUAUUUCACUGUUAAAGGGCCUAAUAUUUAAUAUAAUGGUUGCAAAAGUUUCACAAUAAAAUGCUUUUUGAUAAGUUGGGUUACAACUUAAUUGAAAAGAAAAUUCCUUCUUAUAAUGUGGUCUGCUUCCCACUAUUUUGGUCAAUUUAAUGCUUAUGUGUUUAUUCCUUC